rnacentral:rRNA from 1 species
CCUGCCUGGGAGUGGGGAAUAACACAGAGAAAUCUGUGCUAAUACCGCAUAAUGCAGUUGAGUCGCAUGGCUCUGACUGCCAAAGAUUUAUCGCUCUUAGAUGGACUCGCGUCUGAUUAGCUGGAUGGCGGGGUAGAGGCCCACCAUGGCGACGAUCAGUAGCCGGACUGAGAGGUUGGCCGGCCACAUUGGGACUGAGACACGGCCCAGACUCCUACGGAAGGCAGCAG